AUGCCCAAUACAGCACCCCAUGGGAGCUGCACACGCAUGAGACAUGGAGCCAUGCACCACAAAGAGCCACAGCACCGAUAUGUGCUGCUUAUACUGUCUUUGAUGUGCAGGGAGAGGCAGAUUGGUUCUGACUGCAGAACAGGGAGAGGUAACGUGUCUUCUACAGGCCUUAUCUGCCCGUGCCCGAUACUGCCGCAGCAUAACUUUGAAGAGGAGCCAAUUAAAAAUGAUUCAGGUAGGCCCAAAUUUCAUUAGGUCUGCGUCUCCACCACAUUAUGGGCGCCAUCUAAAGUGAGUGUAAACAUUGUUCCAGUGAAAACCCAGAGUUCACCAACACUUUAGCCAGCCGUGUCCCAAGUUUUCCCUGUGCCGUGCAUGAACUUUGGACCUCAUAAUUCACAGAUUCCAACACAGCUUCAGCUACAAAAAUAACACGGCAUUAACAUAAACACUCUGGCUCUUUCAGUAUAGAGGUCAGGUAGACAGAGAGAGUUGUUGCUGUUUUACAGUUAUAACACAUAUCAAUUACAUAUAAUCAAUUACAUAUCUACAACAUCCAGAAGACUUAGACUGAUGUUUAUUCACAAAGCUAGCCCUUGUCUACUGGAAAUCAAAUUGUGAUUGGUUGAAUCCUCUGUCACUUCAUGAUUUAUGCUUUCGGUAAUUCUAACAUAUUAGCUCUUCUCUCCCAUUCUUGAAGUCCUAACCAAUAGGAGGGAUCGCUUAACUACAUCUAGCAAAACACCACAGAGAAAACAAUUCCUGUCUGGCCAGUUUUCCACCGAGCAUUUCAAAGUUUUAACCCUUUUAUUUUCACCCAAACCUUACAAUAGAGUCUGGCUGCAGACAUGCACUCUCAAACAGAUGCACUCCCAGUAAUGUCAUGUGCACAUGCACUCUCUGUCACAACAGCAGGAGCAGCCCAAUCGCACAUUAACUUUUGACUGCUUCUGCUAAGAGAUAUCAUCACUUAAUCCAUUUUCGGUCCAUAACACAAUGAGGAAACUCUAUUUAAUGUCCCUCCCUUUUUGUUGCAUCUGUUGGGCCCUUGUGGUUUUCAGCAGUAAUGCUAUUCUGUGUUUUCCUGAUGGGUUGACACUGCAGUGUAAAUGAUCCUGAUUGUUUAAUCAGGUGCUUUGGGACUGAGUGCAGACACAUUGGAUCAUUUCAUUUCCUAAUAGCCUCUAAUGGCAACCAUCAAGUCAAUUCUCAUCAUCUCAUCAGGAGGCAGAAUCAUCAGGUUUUAUGCUUGGUUAAAGAGAAGCUACUGCUUGUGGAUAUGAAGUGAAUGAAUUGGCCACAGUUUACAGCUUUUUGAGGGCCUUUAAAAUUGGGUC
ensembl:lncRNA